UGGGGAAUCUUGCGCAAUGGGCGAAAGCCUGACGCAGCAACGCCGCGUGAGCGAAGAAGGCCUUCGGGUUGUAAAGCUCUGUCAGGGGGAAAGAAGGCACCUGGGUUAAUAGCCCAAGGGCUGACGGUACCCCCAAAGGAAGCCACGGCUAACUACGUGCCAGCAGCCGCGGUAAUACGUAGGUGGCAAGCGCUGUCCGGAAUCAUUGGGCGUAAAGAGCGCGUAGGUGGCUUGUCAGGUCUGAUGUGAAAUUUCGGGGCUCAACUCCGAACCUGCAUCGGAAACCGGCUUGCUAGAGUCUGGGAGAGGAGAGUGGAAUUCCUGGUGUAGCGGUGAAAUGCGUAGAUAUCAGGAGGAACACCGGUAGCGAAGGCGGCUCUCUGGAACAGUACUGACGCUGAGGCGCGAAAGCUAGGGGAGCGAACAG
rnacentral:rRNA from 1 species